CAAGAUAGUGAUAUGGAGCAAAACCCUAAAAGCGGUCUCAGUUCGGAUUGAAGGCUGAAAUUCGCCUUCAUGAAGCUGGAAUUGCUAGUAAUGGCAGGUCAGCAUACUGCCGUGAAUACGUUCCCGGGCCUUGUACACACCGCCCGUCACACCAUGAGAGUUGGAAAUACCCGAAGCCUGUGAGCUAACUUUUAGAGGCAGCAGUCGAAGGUAGAAUCAAUGAUUGGGGUGAAGUCGUAACAAGGUACC
rnacentral:rRNA from 1 species